UACGAAGGGGGCUAGCGUUGCUCGGAAUCACUGGGCGUAAAGGGUGCGUAGGCGGGUCUUUUAAGUCAGGGGUGAAAUCCUGGAGCUCAACUCCAGAACUGCCUUUGAUACUGAGGAUCUUGAGUUCGGGAGAGGUGAGUGGAACUGCGAGUGUAGAGGUGAAAUUCGUAGAUAUUCGCAAGAACACCAGUGGCGAAGGCGCUCACUGGCCCGAUACUGACGCUGAGGCACGAAGGCC
rnacentral:rRNA from 1 species